rnacentral:rRNA from 1 species
AGUGAACGCUGGCGGUAGGCCUAACACAUGCAAGUCGAACGGCAGCACAGUAAGAGCUUGCUCUUACGGGUGGCGAGUGGCGGACGGGUGAGGAAUACAUCGGAAUCUACUUUUUCGUGGGGGAUAACGUAGGGAAACUUACGCUAAUACCGCAUACGACCUACGGGUGAAAGCAGGGGAUCUUCGGACCUUGCGCGAUUGAAUGAGCCGAUGUCGGAUUAGCUAGUUGGCGGGGUAAAGGCCCACCAAGGCGACGAUCCGUAGCUGGUCUGAGAGGAUGACCACCCCAACCGGAAUGGGGAACGGUCCCGACCCCUACGGGAGGGAGCAGUGGGGAAAUUUUGGAAAAGGGGGCAAGCCUGGUCCAGGCAUACCGCGUGGGGGGAGGAAGCCUUCCGGUUGUUAAGGCCUUUUGUUGGGAAAGAAAAGCAGCAGGUUAAAUACCCCGCUGUUCUGACGGUACCCAAAGAAUAAGCACCGGCUAACUUCGUG